rnacentral:rRNA from 1 species
UUUUAAAUAAGAAUAAUUAAUAAGAAAUUAAAUGAAAUCAUUAAAUUUAAAUAAUUUGACGGUAUUUUAGAUAAUUAGAGGAACUUGUUAUUUAAAUGAUAAUCCACGAGUAGAUUAUCCUAAUGAAGUUUUUAUGUAUUGUUGUAAAAAAUUAUUUUAUAAGGAUUAUAAUUAAAAUAUUUAAUUAAAUUUAAAUUCAAAUCAAAAUGUAAAAUUAUUAGGUAUAAAUGAGUUACAGUUUAAUUUAAUAGGAAAUUAUUUUUUUAAUAAAAUAAUGUAGGAGGAUUUAAAAGUAAAUUUAAAAAAAUUUUUAAAUUGAAAUAUUAGUUAAAAUAUG